rnacentral:rRNA from 1 species
GACGAACGCUGGCGGCGUGCUUAACACAUGCAAGUCGAACGGUAAGGCCCUUCGGGGUACACGAGUGGCGAACGGGUGAGUAACACGUGGGUGAUCUGCCCUGCACUUCGGGAUAAGCCUGGGAAACUGGGUCUAAUACCGGAUAGGACCCUGGGAUGCAUGUCCUGGGGUGGAAAGCUUUUGCGGUGUGGGAUGGGCCCGCGGCCUAUCAGCUUGUUGGUGGGGUGAUGGCCUACCAAGGCGACGACGGGUAGCCGGCCUGAGAGGGUGACCGGCCAAACUGGGACUGAGGUACGGCACAGACUCCUACGGGAGGCAGCAGUGGGGAAUAUUGCUCAAUGGGCGCAAGCCUGAUGCAGCGACGCCGCGUGAGGGAUGACGGCCUUCGGGUUGUAAACCUCUUUCAGUAGGGACGAAGCGCAAGUGACGGUACCUACAGAAGAAGGACCGGCCAACUACGUGCCAGCCGCCGCGGUAA